rnacentral:lncRNA from 1 species
AGCAGAGAAGAGAAGAGGUAGAAGUGAUUUGGAUAGCUUACGUCAUUAGUUCUUUAUACCAAUUUCUCUGAAGACGGAAAGAAAAGUUAAGAUCAAGGUCCUUAAGAGUAGUUGUUUCAUCAAUUUCAGCUUCAGGUUUGGAGGUGGAGCGUCCAUGGGAAGACCCUUUAAGGUCAAACCGUCUCUGGAUUCUAUAUUCUGAGCAGAACAAGUUCCCCAUGACAAUAAACCGAGUCUGGUAAGAUUAAAAAAAAACGUUAGAAAAUUAUCCAAUGGAAGCAAAUAGUCUUGAUGAACAGCACAAACCUUCUGGCCACCAACAGGUUUGAUGCAAUGUACACCGUAGAACUUAGUCACAAGUGAGUUUUCAUAUUGGCAGAUGUGCUUGUAGUAGUUUGGAAGCAUACGUAGGAGCACCUAAGAAAACAAAAAACUUCAGGUCAAGUUAGUGUGAAUGCAAAUAAGAAACAAGAAGUCAAGACAAGAGCCAACGACUAACUAACCUUGACUUCUGAUUUCUUCACAGUCUUAAUCAUAAACCUGUCAUCUUGAGUUAAGUAAAAAAAGCUCCCACUUUUUCCAGGUGAAGACAGUUCUCGAAGAGCAUCGUCCCCACAGAUAGCUAACAUGUAAUCAGCAGGAUCCACCGUGAAAAGCUCCCUCAGCCGUCUAAACACCAAAGGGCAGUAGUCUUUCCAGCGGAAGUCCACAGACUGAUGCGGGGGCGUAGUCUUAGAACCCUCCGGUGGGAACCUUGUCCAGAACUUUUCACUCGGGUUGAAAUCACUCUGCUUAAGGUCUCGUACAACUGAAGCAUGUUUGCCGACAGUAUACCUAAAGUAUCAAACUUUGGUCAGAACACAGAUUCAUAACCACAUAACUGCCCAAACAUUAUUAUUUUUAAUUUAACGUUUUAUACUAAUUUAUUUUAUAUAUAUAUGACAUUUAUAUAAAAAUAUUUUAGUUUUGAGUUGAACAAUAAAAUUAAUAUAUAAAAUAAACUAAAUUAGACAAAUUUGUGAUUUUUUACUAAUAUUAUUAGUUGAUUUAAACUAAUUUAUUAAAAAGAGGUUUAGAACCUAAGGACUAAACUGAUUAAGAAGAAUGAAUGUAUUACCUGAUGCCAUGUUGCAAGUUGAGCAUCAAAUCAUACUUCUUAUGGCCUUUGGAGAUAGUCUCACCAGCCUUCUUAGCCUCACCGCUGAAACAACAAGGAUUCUUCCUAAACUGCCUAAACCCAUCUCUAUCAACAGACAACCUAUCUCUAUAAAUCACCGAAGCUUCCACAUUAUCAACAAUAUCACAGGUAAUAUCCCCAGCUUCCCCAUCCGACUCCCAAAUACAAAUCCUCGGAAACACCUUCUCCCCACCACCACCACCUCCACUGUCAACGCUGGAUCUCUUCCGCUUCUCAAUCCCAUCAAAGAAACUCCUCAUCUCACUCCAAGAACUCCCGUCAGCACAGGUCAACAGCCCUUUGGGAACGCCGUUCUCCCACUGGCCCUCGUAACGGUUCCCGUUAGGCCAGAGGAGGACGCCUUUCCCGUUAAUCACGCCGUUACGCCACUCGCCGGUGUACUGGUUCCCGUUCUUCCACACGUACCUCCCCUUCCCGUCCUGCACAUUCCGCCGCCACGUCCCCUCGUACAAGUCCCCGUUGACGUAGCGCUUCUCGCCGUGGCCGUGUUUCCGAUCGGCGAUCCAGUGGCCGCGGUAGGUGUCUCCGUCGGCGCCGACGAAGGUCCCGAAGCCUUCCAUCCUCCCGGACUUGAACUCGCCCUCGUAGGUCGCGCCGCUCGGCCACGAGAACUUGCCUUUCCCGCUCGCCUUCCCGCGCUUCCACUCGCCUUCGUACAUACACCCGUCGUUCCACAGAUACUUCCCCGAUCCGUUCGGGAACCCGCCGGAGAAGGUGCCGGUGUAGAGAUCUCCGUUAGGUAACGGCUUCUCGACGUCCGGCGGAGGUGGCGUGGGAGUCACGCGCUGGGUGGCUCCUUGGGAUUUGGAUCGCACCAUCGGAGUUAGGGUAAGUAGCAACAAGUCGUCUCGUCUCUCCGCUUCGUCGCCUUCUAGAACGUUCUUCGGAACAACGACGCCGUUUCUGGUGGAUAGUAUAACUUGAGUAGCUUCGGGUACGACGCCGUUUGAGACUUUUGGUUCGCUCGCGAGAGGGUCACACAUUAGAUAAACCCUCGCUUUCCACCGUUUUUCGAGAUCUUUGCAACGGCAUUCGAAAGAUUGUAGGUUAGAUCUGUCCGAGAACCAAACGGAUUUUGUCGUGGUGUAGAAACACUUUUCUUUCUUUUUUUAUUUCAAAUCUGAGAAGAAACCUUGGUGAGAGUUUUCUACAGACAAACGCUACAGAGAGGAAAAUGAAAAGGGAGAAUGAAGCAUCAAAAGCAAAAGGAUAAAGAUAGAGAGAGAAGAGAAGUGAAGAGAGAAACAAAAAACCUUUAGAAAUGAAUUAAUUUUAGGGGUAGAUUUGUAAAAUUCAGUGAGAUGGUGUUGGAAUAAAGCAUUGGGAAGUGGACACAAAAAGCCCACCAGCCCGCCAAAAAAAGUCGCGUCGUUAUGACCAAUUUAUUGACUUGAGUGUAAUUACGGGAUUUGGGUAAGAUAAUAAUAUUACAGGAUGCAAUUACAUUUCACGUUUUUUAUUAGAAAAUUUUACACCAUAGAUAAUUGAUGAUUACAUGAAUAAUAUGACUAUAUGACAGCAUUUUUAAAGUUCAAACCAGAUUUGAUUUUCGUAGUUAGGAUUAUAUAUUUUAGAUGAGUCGUAAACCAUAUAACUAAUUGUAUUCAUAAGACAUGGACCUAAACAGAUAAUAUGAUUAUUUUUGCUACAAAUAUCCAAACCCGUUUUAGAUACCUUUGUUAUUUAGAUUGUUUUUAGGUUACUAUAUAUUAGAACCAAAAUCAUCUAGACCCAGAAGGAUCCAACUCAAAACUCAAAACUCAAAAUCCACACAAAUUUAUAAUAUUCAAGUGGAGCCUAAUUUCAAAACAACAAAAAAACGAUACCCGAAAAAAUAGACCAUACCUAAAGAGUUGGCCAAUGUUUAUGCCUAACUGGUUUUAUAAAUUAAUAAAAAAGACUUUUUCUAUGUUUGUCUAAAUUCAAUGAAAUUAAAAAAGUCUUUUAUUUAGUAAAAUAAUUAUAUGGAGUGAAGAAUUAAGUGACAAUGAAUGUAACAUAUUUUUAUUAUUUUGAUUUAAGUUAUUAUAUUAUUCACAAAAACAUGUCCUUGAAUUAUGUUUUUGGUUAUGUAAUUUUCAACAGAUUGAAACUAAAAUUAAAAAAAAAAGUUUUAGUGAAACAAACUAAACUUAACGUUUAACCUUAUGCAAAACCCAACUAUUUUAUAUUUUUGAUUUUACAAUUGACACAAGAUAAUGUUGAUUAACUGAUAAAUAAAAAUUUACGCUAUUAUUAUUAUGGUAAUAUAACUAAUGGUGUGAUCUAUUGUUAAUGUAAUAUAAUUAAUGAAAUUGUUAAAUUGAAUGAAAUAUAAAAAUAAAAUAAAAGUAAUUAUAUUAAUGAAAUUAUUAAAACGACAUUAUAGUUCUUUUUUAUACUACUAACAUGUUUCCAAAUAAUUUUCUUUUAUACUAUUAUAUCCAUAUUUCCAAACAGUACCAAAAAUACUUCAAUUUUAAUAAUAAAACAAAAGCUGACUCGCAUUUAAAAAACAAAUUCAAUUUUUUACCAAGUAGAUGUGUUAUGAAGUUUGGUUUUAUAUUGGUUAUAGUAUAUAGUAUACCAUUAAGAAACACACAAAAAUGUUGUUAUUGAUUAUAGAUACUCCUUUUCAUGGUAAAUUAAUGUCUAAUGUUGGUUUUUUUACAGAUUAAACAUAGUUAAUAACGUAACAUCUAUUUUUACCCAAAUGCAGCUUUAUAGUUCACUUGUGAAAUAACACACAUUCACAGGUCCAAGAACAUCUUCACCCAAAUGAGCACGCCGAGAUAACUGUUCUCUCGUCAACACAUAAUCAUUAUAUACAUAUGCGUUCCUGAGUGCGUGUGUAAAUAUGAAAAGUUCUUUUUAUUUCGGUUAAUCUCAUUGUACUAAAACCGUAGUUAAUUCGUAAUUGCCGUCGUCUACAAGUUUUCACCAUUGACAAACAAUAUAAUCAUUAAAAAUGUCCAAUCUUGAAACUAUAAUAUGUUCGUUGGUUUAUUAUACGGUCACAUGUUCCCCUAAUCAAAAAUUGCUACGUACUGAUAGAGUUUUUCUUUCUAAAAUACAAUCUGCAAAGGCUAAUUAUAAGUUUUAAAAACUAGUGUCGGCGUGCCCUACGUUGUAUGGAUGUAAUGUGAUACCCACGUAAAAGACCAAAUGAUUAGUAAUAUUUAUCUCCUUCAUUUAAGAAACGAUAAUCAACAAUUAUCAAUUAACUAAUCGUCAUCGCGAAUGAAAUAAAAUAACCUAAAACGGAUGAUAAUGUUUGAUAAUUAUAUAAUGGAUUUUAAUGACUUUGUGUGAUUUCAUCAUGUAAUUUUUCUUUUUUAUAAGUCGGUCAUCAGCAUUUAAAGUUUCAGUAGUACAAAAUCCCUAUUCAAGUUUGUAUCCUUGAUUUAUUAUUGUAAGACUUUAGCUCAAAGGGACAUUAAAAAAACUAGACGUGCCAUUGAGUAAUUAUGUGUACAUAAAGGAUAUACGAUAAUAUUAAAAAAAAACUCAAGGUUUGCCCCCACAAAGUUAUUGUGUUUUCAAUUCAAUAGAGCCUGCCCCCACAAAACUGCCAAGCAACUUUUAAUACUAAUAAUGCGUUGCGAUGUAACGUAGUUCUCAUAUGGAAUCAUUCAAACUGAACCUUUCAACCACUCUGUGUGACUAUGAAUGCAAAAAGACUGUCAUGUUGGGUCAACUUAACAUUUACUGUGAUGAUUGGCGUACCUGCCAGCUAAGAUACGGUCCAUGUCUUGAAGUUCAGCUUCUAGGAACCGACAACCGCGGAUGUAUUUCUCGUUUUGAUAUGACUCUAUCUUACCUGCACAAUAUCAUUACAAUGGGUCAGGUCUAGCAGCAGAAUAAGAUUUGAGGAAGAAGGAGAAGGGUGUUAACUAACCAGAUCUCAAAACGAAUGGAGAAAGACCCAUCUUGUCUCCUGUAUUGUCAUCUCGGAAAUGAACUCCGAUUAAAAGGCUAUAAUCCAUUAUUCUCUCAGCUUCCAAGAACUCACAGUCCCGUUUAAUUUGCCUGCUCAUUGAUAUGCACCCAGAUUAGUAAUGUGCAGCCAAAAAUAGCAUAAGCAGAGAAGAGAAGAGGUAGAAGUGAUUUGGAUAGCUUACGUCAUUAGUUCUUUAUACCAAUUUCUCUGAAGACGGAAAGAAAAGUUAAGAUCAAGGUCCUUAAGAGUAGUUGUUUCAUCAAUUUCAGCUUCAGGUUUGGAGGUGGAGCGUCCAUGGGAAGACCCUUUAAGGUCAAACCGUCUCUGGAUUCUAUAUUCUGAGCAGAACAAGUUCCCCAUGACAAUAAACCGAGUCU